AAAAUAAGAUUAAAUUCAAAGAUAUAAAAUUUUCGAAUAUAAAAAGGAACAUUUUAAGCUCAGAGCUACACAUUUGCAGCAAGCUGUGAAAGUCCAGUAUAUUAACCAGAAUCAUGAGGACCAUUGCACUCUUGCUCGCCCUUGCAUUUGCAGUCGCAGUUUACGCCAAGCCUGAACCUGGAGUUCAUAGAGUCACUGGACAAUAUGUAACUCAUGUUCAUCAUUACAAAAUACGUAGUAAGUAACACCAUAAACUUAUCUUAUAAAAAUAUUUU